AAAGUGCUGAAAACAGAAAAAAAGAGGCACAGAGGAGGAAGAAAAGUAAAAAGCAAACCAUGUAUAUCAAGACAAAGCAAGUAGGAAAGCUAACUGCAGCAGAGCAAAGGGAAGCAACCUUGCAGGAAUGGAGGAGUGUGGGAAGAGCUGAGCCCCGGCCUGGCACAGGAGCUGCGCGGCAGGAGAAGAAGCUGAGCCCAAAGGCAAAGGGCGGAGGAGGUUGAAGGGGAGCUACCGGGCAUGGGCUUGCUCAGCAAGGGGAGCAGAAGCCUGAAGGGCACGAGAAGGGAAUAGAGAAGGGCAUGCAGAAGGAGAGAAGCUGCGAGCAGAGUUAAGAGGCACUCGUCAGAGCAGCAAGCAGAGCAGGCAAGUGUUGAGAUUGGGAGUGAGUAGCAGGAAAAGGCAAGAGCACCAAGAAAAAGGAGGCGAGGGGCAAGCAGCUCAGGUAGGGAAGGGAGGGGACAGCAGCUAAGCUAGGAAAGUGAGUGGAUAGCAGGUGAGGUAGGUAAGUGAGGGGACAACCAGUAAGGAAGCCAAGUGAG